GCGUGCGGCACUCCCCAUUCCCCAACUCCCUCGGCAUCGGCGGCGCAUCCAGGUCCUGCGCGCCUGCAGCGCCGCCCCGCCCCUGCCACCGUCGUCCGUCGCCAGUCGUCUCCACCUCCCCUCGUCUUCCUCCUCGCCAUCUCUGCCGGCGGCGCCGACGCCUCGCUGUCUCGGCCGCCGCACCACCUCCACGCGGCGACGCGGCGACGCCGGUCGCUGCACCACCUCGACGACCACGCAGCAACACUGGCCGCCGCACCACCUCCACGCGGCGACGCCUGCCGCCGCACCACCACCACGCACCGACACGGUGACGCCGGCCGCCGCACCACCUCCACGCGCCGACACCUGCCAUCUCAACUCAACGAUUCAGCAUCUCGACAGAUCUGUGAUGGAUUCCUCACAUGCAACUAUGCAAGUAGCAGCGGUGCAAGUGUAUGCUGUGCAAAUGUAGCUUAUCUGUGA
rnacentral:lncRNA from 1 species